AGAAGGUCUUCGGAUUGUAAAGCACUUUAAGUUGGGAGGAAGGGCAGUAAGUUAAUACCUUGCUGUUUUGACGUUACCGACAGAAUAAGCACCGGCUAACUUCGUGCCAGCAGCCGCGGUAAUACGAAGGGUGCAAGCGUUAAUCGGAAUUACUGGGCGUAAAGCGCGCGUAGGUGGUUCAGCAAGUUGAAGGUGAAAUCCCCGGGCUCAACCUGGGAACUGCCUCCAAAACUACUGAGCUAGAGUACGGUAGAGGGUAGUGGAAUUUCCUGUGUAGCGGUGAAAUGCGUAGAUAUAGGAAGGAACACCAGUGGCGAAGGCGACUACCUGGACUGAUACUGACACUGAGGUGCGAAAGCGUGGGGGAGCAAACAGGAUUAGAUACCCUGGUAGUUCCACCCCGUAAACGAUGUCGACUAGCCGUUGGGAUCCUUGAGAUCUUAGUGGCGCAGCUAACGCAUUAAGUCGACCGCCUGGGGAGUACGGCCGCAAGGUUAAAACUCAAAUGAAUUGACGGGGGCCCGCACAAGCGGUGGAGCAUGUGGUUUAAUUCGAAGCAACGCGAAGAACCUUACCUGGCCUUGACAUGCUGAGAACUUUCCAGAGAUGGAUUGGUGCCUUCGGGAGCUCAGACACAGGUGCUGC
rnacentral:rRNA from 1 species